CACGUAGGGUGCGAGCGUUGUCCGGAAUUAUUGGGCGUAAAGAGCGCGCAGGCGGUCGUUCAAGUCGCGUGUGAAAGCCCCCGGCUCAACUGGGGAGGGUCACGCGAUACUGAUCGACUCGAAGGCAGGAGAGGGUAGUGGAAUUCCCGGUGUAGUGGUGAAAUGCGUAGAUAUCGGGAGGAACACCAGUGGGGAAGGCGACUACCUGGCCUGUUCUUGACGCUGAGGCGCGAAAGCUAGGGGAGCAAACGGG
rnacentral:rRNA from 1 species